GGGGGCGUACUGGUUUCGACGGGGGUGUAGAAGCCGGAUAAGCGAGCCGCAGUUUGUCCAGUCUGCGUAAAAAGGGACACGUUAAAUAUAAACGCUAAAAAUAACAACAAUUUCGCAUUAGCUGCUUAAUUUCGCAGCCCGCGUGUCAGCCUUAGUUUACCUGUAGGCUAAGAACCUGGCAUCGACUAAUACAGGAAAACCAUGCGGGAGUUCCCGGUACCGUGUGGGACUAACGGGAUAGCUGAAGGAAAAGCCUGCUUCUGGGCGCUUCCGGAUGCGAAACACCAAAACAGAAGCUGCGCUCGGAGAAAUUCCCGUGGAAAUGCUUUCGGACGUGGGUUCGAUUCCCACCGCUUCCACCA
rnacentral:tmRNA from 1 species